AUCUCAAUCUAUCAUUGAAUAAUUUCACUGGAUGGAUCCCGAGCGGAAUCCAGAAUCUCCAGCAGCUGAAGUUUCUGGAUUUGCAUUCAAAUGGGAUUGCCAGUGAUGUCAGGAUUCUGUUGUCUGAGCUUUAGAAUACGAAAUAUGUCGAUAUCAGUGGUAAUCACUUCAAUGGAGGGCUUUCAUUGGAUCCACAGAAUGUUUCCAUCUUAGUAAAUACUUUUCGGUAUUUGAAUUUGAGUCACAAUGGGCUGGAUGGGGAGUCUUUUAAGGAUUGUUCGAUGCAGAUAUUUCAGAACUUGGAAAUAUUGGAUGUGAGUCAAAAUCAGAUCAGAGGGAAGCUUCCUUCGUUUCAUCCAUUGCUAUCCCUUCGGGUUUUGUGGGUUGGUAACAAUCUGCUUGAUGGAUCUAUACCACCUGAGCUCUUUGGGAGUUCCAUGCAGCUGGAAGAACUGGAUCUCAGCAGCAAUGGAUUUUCAGGUUGAGACGGUCCUUCGAAAGCAUCCUAAUCCAUCUCAAGUGGAGAAGGUGAAACUAAUCAUUGGGGAGCAUGAAAAAGAACUUAGCGAAGCACUUGAGAAGGUCGUUGGUGUAUUAAUGGUCAGAAUCGCAUUGAUUUGCAAGGUGAUUAUAGCUGAAAUAGUCGUUACGUAGGGCUGUUGGACACUUUGAUUUGUAAGUAUUUCUGAUGUAGAUAGGCAACAUCCUUUGUUUCCUAUGACUGCUACAAACUGCAGGAUGUUUUUCAUUUUGAUAGAUGCUAGCUCCUUUUUGUACUACAGCCCCGUUUGAUAGGUUGUGUCAAGGAUGAUUGGGUUUCUGUACCUCUGUUAUGUGGGUAAGAGCAAUUGGAGUCUAAUGGAAUAGAUCAAUUGUACCUCUGUUAUAUGGUACACUCUGGAUCUUAAAUCAUUUAUAUUGUCUAUGGUUUUUAUGCUCUUUUCAGUUUCUUGAUCACGUAACCUAAAACUAUUUGAAAGUUGUUUGUGUUUAGGAGUGUAAGAUCAUAUAUCAUGUAAUGUCAGUGGUGGUCUCUUUAUACUUUAUAUCAUAUGCAUUUGGUCUCAAGAUCCUGGUAACUCUUUCUCUGAGUAGUUUUGGACCUGAGCAAUUCUGAACAAUACCUCUCAAGUUUUGGACCUGAGCAAUUCUGAACAAUACCUCACGAAAUAUACAUGUAGGUUAUACUAGUUUUAUUCUGCCCGAUCUCAAUCAUGCAAAGCUAAAACAGAUGACUCUUUGCCAUUCAUAGAUAUAAACUUCAUAUAAUCCAUAUCCACUGUCAGCAACUUCCUGUUGAUAUAAUUAUGACUGGAGCAAGGUUCUAAAACACGAACUCAACUCUCUGUGGCCCCAAUCCGAGGUCUUCGACUUCAACAUGGGCAACUGUCUGAUUAUUUAAUUGAGGUUUUCCAGUUUUGAAAAUGAUUAUGCUGUAAUUGAGGCCUUGUAUGAAUAUUUUUCAGCUCUUAUUGAGCCAUGGGAUGGACCUGCACUUAUAUCACGUGAAGUUUGUGUUAGAACUGCUUCACGCUUUAAUGAUUCUGCAUGUGACAUGAGUAUUUUGAACUUAUAUUUAUUGUAUAAAUGCAAUUACUGAUGGCCGCUAUCCUGGAGCGACAUUGGAUCGGAAUGGAUUGUGCCUCAGUCGCUUUUACAUCACACAUAGUGGACACGUGAUCAUGGCCAAUGAAGUUGGUGUUGUAGACAUCUUGCCAGAAGAUGUGGCUAGGAAAGGAAGACAUCUGAUCGGUCCAAUGGGGACCUUACUGAAACAGUUCAUGUGAAAGGCUAGGAAAGGAAGACAUUUGUAGUUUGUUUUGAAAACUUUAAAUAGACCAUUAAUUGUUUUGUUGAUAUUGUGCUCAUUGUUGUCUUGAUGAAUGUUAAAUGAGUGAAAUAUGCACAGGUUCAAUCAUUUGUUGAUUA